rnacentral:rRNA from 1 species
GGAGUCUGGGCCGUGUCUCAGUCCCAAUGUGGCCGAUCACCCUCUCAGGUCGGCUAACCAUCGUCGACUUGGUGGGCCGUUACCUCACCAACUAUCUAAUGGUACGCAGGUCCGUCUCAUACCGAUAAAUCUUUUACCCCUCUGCCAUGCGACAGUGUGGUCUUAUGCGGUAUUACUCUUCGUUUCCAAAGGCUAUCCCCCAGUAUGAGGUUGGUUACCUACGCGUUACUCACCCGUUCGCCACUGUCCACUCUGUUUAGCGAACUAACCAAAGCUUCCCGUUCGACUUGCAUGUGUUAAGCACGCCGCCAGCGUUCGUC